rnacentral:rRNA from 1 species
AGCGAACGCUGGCGGCGUGCCUAACACAUGCAAGUCGAACGUGAAAGGGAGCAAUCCCAAGUAAAGUGGCGUACGGGUGAGUAACACGUAGGUAAUCUACCCCAGAAUCUGGAAUAACCGGCCGAAAGGCUGGCUAAUACUGGAUAGAGCGACGGAAUCCGUAAUUGGGUUUUUCGGGAAAGGGAGCCUGUAAAAAGGCCUUCGUUCUGGGAUGAGCCUGCGUCCCAUCAGCUAGUUGGUGAGGUAAAAGCUUACCAAGGCAAUGACGGGUAGCUGGUCGGAGAGGACGAUCGGCCACACUGGAACUGAAACACGGUCCAGACUCCUACGGGAGGCAGCAGUGGGGAAUCUUGCGCAAUGGACGAAAGUCUGACGCAGCAACGCCGCGUGAGUGAAGAAGGCCUUCGGGUUGUAAAGCUCUGUCGAGUGGGACGAAAAUGCUUGGAGUUCACAGCUCCAGGAACUGACGGUACCACUAAAGGAAGCACCGGCUAACUCCGUG